GCUCAGAUUGAACGCUGGCGGCAGGCCUAACACAUGCAAGUCGAACGGUAACAGGAAACAGCUUGCUGUUUCGCUGACGAGUGGCGGACGGGUGAGUAAUGUCUGGGAAACUGCCUGAUGGAGGGGGAUAACUACUGGAAACGGUAGCUAAUACCGCAUAACGUCGCAAGACCAAAGAGGGGGACCUUCGGGCCUCUUGCCAUCGGAUGUGCCCAGAUGGGAUUAGCUAGUAGGUGGGGUAACGGCUCACCCAGGCGACGAUCCCUAGCUGGUCUGAGAGGAUGACCAGCCACACUGGAACUGAGACACGGUCCAGACUCCUACGGGAGGCAGCAGUA
rnacentral:rRNA from 1 species